UCUUGAAGGUGGUGCUGGGGGACAUCUACUCGACUCCUUUGUCUCUGGGAUCCUGCAAGGCGCUCUCAUGCUGUUUGUCAUCCACAUGAAACCGCUGGAAGAGAUCAUCAUGAGUAAGCUGGGAGGUAAUUACACCCAUGGCUGAAGUGUGUGGAAUGAUUUACGUGAGUCCGAAGACCAGCAUGAGAAAUAUUAACAGAAAGAAAACACCUGUUUGGAAACCAAUUAUGAACUGCAGAGAACUAUCAGUCCUAAUUAAUGAAUAGCUACAGGAUUCUCAUUUAAGCAAAAUCAGCUUGGGAUGUAAAUGAUGCAAUCAAGUCCUGAUUCAUUCUGCCAUGCAACGUAAAGAAGUACAAUUCAAUUCAAAUCAAACCCUCUUGUAGAAUUUGCAUGUUUGAAAGGUUCUGUGUCUGCUGUUGCA